AUGAGUGGCGAACGGGUGAGUAAUACAUAGGUAACCUGCCCCUGUGCGGGGGAUAACAGGAGGAAACUCCUGCUAAUAUCGCAUAGCCAUGAGCACCGCAUGGAGCUCAUGCCAAAUAUCCUUUCGGGGAUAGCGCAGGGAUGGACCUAUGGCGCAUUAGCUGGUUGGCGGGGCAACGGCCCACCAAGGCAACGAUGCGUAGCCGGCCUGAGAGGGCGGACGGCCACAUUGGGACUGAGACACGGCCCAGACUCCUACGGGAGGCAGCAGUAGGGAAUUUUCGGCAAUGGGGGAAACCCUGACCGAGCAACGCCGCGUGAGCGAAGAAGGCCUUCGGGUCGUAAAGCUCUGUUGUAAAGGAAGAACGGCGCAUACAGGAAAUGGUAUGCGAGUGACGGUACUUUACCAGAAAGCCACGGCUAACUACGUGCCAGCAGCCGCGGUAAUACGUAGGUGGCGAGCGUUAUCCGGAAUCAUUGGGCGUAAAGAGGGAGCAGGCGGCCGCAAGGGUCUGUGGUGAAAGCCCGAAGCUAAACUUCGGUAAGCCAUGGAAACCGGGCGGCUAGAGUGCGGGAAGAGGAUCGUGGAAUUCCAUGUGUAGCCGGUGAAAUGCGUAGAUAUAUGGGAGGAACA
rnacentral:rRNA from 1 species